rnacentral:lncRNA from 1 species
CAAACAAUCUUCUCCACCGUUGUCUCCCACGUCACUAACACACAAAACCCUAAUUUCUCUUUUCACCAUACGCAUCGUCGAUCCAGCAGUUCAUACACGUCUACAGCAAUGCUUCACAAAUGAUUCAAGUCCGCCAAAUGGUGAGCACUUGAUGGGAAAAGAGACAAUAUAAGAUUUUGGACAAAAUUGCUACUCACGUGUUCCUGAGCUGCUUAUAAGCGUAUGUGCAUACCAUAACGCAAGACGGAUGUUGUACAUAAACACAACCGAAACACUCGAAGAACGACACAAAUUCAAAAUCUAAAGAGGGAAAAUGUGGAUCGAAGAACGACAAAAAAUCAAGUUUUUAGGUGAUGGUGGAUCUUAAUACAAGGAGGUUAAAUUUACAAGUUGUAAAUAUUAAAGUUGACAGUAUAGGAGCACUGAAAGUUUAAUAUACCAUUAUUUUUGUCGAUGUUUGGAAUGUGAAUAACCAGGAGCCAAAUUUGAUAAAAAUGACGGGAAGCCUAAAGUUGGGGAUGCGGCAACUGAGCAACAAACGAGCUAAGACUCUCAAUUCAUAUAUAUGUUAGAGUCGAAGCGUGUUCAUUAAAAAAAGUUACAACGGGUCAUUUCCUAAUGCAAAAAUGGAAAACUAUUGCUCGACAUGUUUAAGAUCAAAACAUGUCAACGUUUUUUAUAUUUAUCUGGAUUAUAUUUGUAGUUUCAUUUUUGUCGUUAGACUUAUGUAAUAUAUUUAACUUUAUGUUAUACACCUUUUCUUUUAGUUUCAAUCAAGACCCUUAAAAUGUCAUAGUAUUGUUAUGUGUUAAAACCUUGUGUUACUUAUAUUAGAUAAUGAUGGCAAUUUUAAAAACAAGACAACCAAUGUGGAGUAUAAGGACUUUUUUAGUGAAAUUUGAAUCAUUGGUUGUAUUUUUUUACCUAUCAUGUGUGUUUUUAAGUGUAUUUUAUUUAUAUUAAAUUUAUUUCCAUUUAAUCUUAAUUUAAUUUAGACAAAUUUAAAAUAUUUUCAUUUGUUAAACCGCGUGUAUACGCGGGCUCUAACCUAGUUAUAUUAUAUUUUGUAACCCAUCUUUAAAUUGACACAAAACUCAUUGGUCAAUUACCCAUCUUUAAUAAUUAAGCCCUACCCAUUAGGCCAUUACCCUUACCCCUAAGCCCACCCAAAGCCCAUUUCAACCCAUUGCCAGCAGUAGAGUUCAACUCAAAUAACCGUUGUUGCUGCCUGGCGUUGCUUCUCCGGCGACAUCUGCUCCUCUGGAUACUGUCCCGAAAUAACCCCAAUUUUAGGCAGACAGGUUUUAAAAGCCAGUUGGAAGGAAGUGGUAACAAAAUGAUGCAUAUACUGAAUAAUAAAAGUUAUAUGUCAUAUGUGCUUGUGCCUGUGAGAGGUGGUGAGUCUUUUAAGGUUGUUUUUGCAAUAAUGUAUGUCAGAUUUUGAUAUUUGUCUUGGAGAUCAAAUGUUGGCUUAGACAGACAAAGACAAAUAUGUGUGCUCUCUCUCUCUCUCUGUGUUUUCUCUGUGUUAUUUGGAUAACGCCAACCAACCAAUUAUUAUUUU